CACCCCCCCUUUGAGACACGUAUCUUCACUUUUCAACUCUUUUUUCAACCUCAUAAGAGAAGAGAGAGAAAGGAAGAAAAGGAGAGACAAGGGUGGUGACCGGAGGGCCACCGUCACACCACCACGACGGCACCGUCCGGUGUCUCUGUUUUGUGGGUUUCUUGGAACCUGCCGGAAAGAUUGUACGGUGGGAUGGUUCAUAUCCAGGCUAUUGGACAGAAGACAUGUCUCUUCUUUGUCUGUUUGCCGACGACCAACCAUCCACUACCAGAGAACCGCUGCCACUCAACCGUCUGGCGACGACAACUGGGAUUCUUGCGAGGUCUCGGCCUUUUGCCUACCCGACGAUGAUGGUGGCUUGCUACUUGGUAUGGCAACUCCGGUUGCAACCACAGCGCCACUGAGCGGGUUAAAGGAUGAUGAUGAUCUUUUCGUAUCUGAGUUGUGAUGAAUUCAUAUAAUGACUGUAAUCGGAUGUUGAUUUUGCCUUGGUGUGGGCGCGUGGCAGGUAUGGAUUUUGUUUUAUGUGGGUUUUUGUUGCUAGCUGUACUUUGAGAACAUGAGGAACAUGAACAUUGUACCAGAGAAAGAAAAUUAAAUAGGCCGUGAUGAUGUAAAAAAUUCGACUAUCCUGGUUGUUUUGGCUUGGCAAUUUGAUGAUUUGCAGCCACAAUGAGGUAGUGUAUUUGAGCCUACGAAACACAUCUAACCAAAUCAGAUGUGUUCAUAUUUGAAUUUUACUAUUGAUGAUGUUGCUUUCGGUGCUACUCUUAAUACAUUGAUUUGGGUUUGUUUGUUUCUAUCAAUUUUGUUGCUUUAUGUUAUAGGGACUUUUGGGGUUUUUUUAUGGGUUAUAUUGAAAUAAACAAUUUAACAUGUUUUAGUUAGCGUCUGUAGUUGUCGACUUUUUUGGUGCAAAUUGUAACAGAUAGAAAAUUAAAUGGGCGGUGAUGAUAUAAGAAAAUUCUCUAUUUUCGUUGUUUUGGCGUGGCAAUCCGAUGAUUUGCAGCCACAAUGAGGUAGGAUAUCUGAGCCUUCGAACACACGUCUAAGCAAACCAGAUGUGUUCAUAUUGAAAGUUUACUUUUGACGGGUGCCGGUGACUCUCAUCGGUUGAUCUAGAGACAGAAUGGGAGACUUGAAGGUGAUCUUGAACAACCGCAGCCUCAGAGACUUGAAUCGGUGUUCCGGCGAGAGUCCGUACAGGAAAGAGGAGCAGAGAAUAUGAGAGGGAGACAUCGAUUCAAGAUUGAUUUCUUCGAUUUUUAUACUACUGAUUCAAACACAAUGGAGACGAUUAGGAGAGCAUUGCACACAGUUUCAUUGUACUCUAAUGAUCAGAGAUGUGGGAUACAUUAAGGAAAGGUCUAUUGAGCUUGGUCCGCAAGACUACACGUCAUCUUUUAGUUAAGGUAAUGCUGGAUACCAAAUCAUCAAUAGAUAAUUAGAAAGUUAAUGAUAGCAUUAGGGUCAUAUGGUUAUGGUCCUGAUGAUUCCAGCAAAUUUUUAAAAUUUGACACAAGAGGUAUUGUGUUAAUUCUUCACCAUUAAUAAUAAAAACAAGUUCUUUUAAGGAUUGUCCUUGGUUAUAAAAAAAAUCAUUUGCACCAGAGGUGUGAGGUGAUCAGGAGACGCCUCAGGGCCUUGAGAUGGCGCUUCAUACACAUUACGUCGAAUUUAGGGCCCGUAGAAGGUUGAUAUGUAAAAACAACCAGACGGGUGAAGAGAUUUUGAAUGGUUACUUGAUAAAAAGGUUGACAUAUAUAAGAGAUGAGAGAUGCAACUUUUGGUUGUACAUGGAGCAACGUUUUGCGUACGUGAAGCUCUUGUCUUGUGCCUCGGCUUUCGGGGCCUAAACUCCUCAUAGCGCCUCGCCCUCGCUAAAACCAAGGGAUUGUUCAAUAUGAUUGUUAAUAUUUUCUUUUUGGGAGUUUUUCCCUUUUUCUUUCUUAUAUCUUAGUGUUACCAAUAAUUUUGUAGGACAUGAUCGUUGGUACAUCGUGGAACAUAUUCAUGCCAGAGACAGUCGAGCCUCUUUUUUUAUCUUUGAUGUUUGACUGAUAAGGCUAUACGGUAUGGUCAUGUUCCUCAUGACCACCAUGACCCUUCACAUAGGUGUUAAACCACUAUUCUCUUUAUUUUUGUCUUAAAAUUAUCAAAUGGGAGGGUUGCGGUUGUCGUGGUUUAAUGCUGGCGAAUCACCAUGAUUUAAUGAGGGGGUGGUGUAGCGCAUGAAUAUUGGUCCUAUGUGGCAAAUAAUGACCCAACAAUGACCCCCAUACCCCUUAGCCUAAUAUCAAGAAUGAUACAACUAAAACUUUCUGAAUUGACAACCGUUUUUUUUUCAGUAAAAUGUAUAAACAUUAAAAGCCUUAAGCCGAUAGCGUUACUGAUGAUUUGGGUGUCAGGCCUUCACUUUUACCUGUUGUGCUGAAGAUUUGGCAGUAUUUUACUCACUAAUACAGUUAAGUAGUUCAAAAGCACAUAAAUACUAGGACUUAUUAACAAAACUGUUAGGUAUUACUUGAUUAAUUUAUUACUUCUGUUUAUAAAAGUACCUGCAACUUCUUUAAAUCGCAUUGAUUGGGGCCCGGAAAACUUAACAUAGUUUCCAUAUAUUUCUGUCAUGAUGUUAUUUUGUUUAAUAGUGUAGGGAUUCUGAUUGUGUUAUCGCUGUACUAAUUUGCAUUGAAGUAUUAAGGAAUCGUAUCCGAAGUGACAAGUCCAAUUAAGAUAAUGAUAAUGCAGUCUGAUUGGAAGUCAUGAGGUCCGAUGACCAUGGUAAGGUACGUGAAUAGGAGGGUGUGGUGCAUGGUAUGGGGAGGAGUUGUAGUUCCUUCAGAUCAUUUUCCAUUGCUUAAUAGAGAAUCGAAAGGUGGCUUAAGGAGAGCUUUAGCUUCAGACUAUAUAUACACCUUUUAGGAUGCUAUAUGUAAUAUGCUUAUUCUGGAUUGUGUAAACAGAAGACUUUAUUUUGCUUUAUCUGUUAGUUUUUUUGACAUUCCUGCAUCAAAUUGCAUGUAUAAACUUUGGAAGUUGAAUGACAUCUUUAUUAUAAAAGAAGUUCACUGCAA